rnacentral:rRNA from 1 species
UACAGAGGUCCCAAGCGUUGUUCGGAUUCACUGGGCGUAAAGCGUGCGUAGGCGGUUGGCUAAGUCAGAUGUGAAAGCCCUGGGCUCAACCUGGGAAUGGCAUUUGAAACUGGCCGGCUAGAGUGUGAUAGAGGAUGGCGGAAUUCCCGGUGUAGCGGUGAAAUGCGUAGAGAUCGGGAGGAACAUCCGUGGCGAAGGCGGCCAUCUGGAUCAACACUGACGCUGAGGCACGAAAGCGUGGGGAGCAAACAGG